rnacentral:rRNA from 1 species
CCCUUAGAUGUCCUGGGCUGCACGCGCGCUACACUGAUGUGUCCAGUAAGCACCUAACCUCUUCCGAAAGGAACGGGUAACCUUUGCAAAGCACAUCGUGAUGGGGAUAGAUUAUUGCAACUAUUAGUCUUGAACGAGGAAUUCCUAGUAAGCACAAGUCAUCAGCUUGUGUUGAUUACGUCCCUGCCCUUUGUACACACCGCCCGUCGCUCCUACCGAUUGAAUGUUCCGGUGAGCUCUUCGGACUGCGCGGUCUGCAGUUUCUGCGUUCCGUGCGGAAAGUUGCGCAAACCUUAACAUUUAGAGGAAGGAGAAGUCGUAACA